CGGGGUGUGGCGCAGCCCGGUAGCGCACCUGCUUUGGGAGCAGGGGGUCGCCGGUUCGAAUCCGGCCACCCCGA
rnacentral:tRNA from 1 species